CAUUCUCAAUGAUCAUGGUCAUCUAUUCUCUCAGUCAUUUUGGAUUGAUGUUUUCAACUCUGUUAUUUUACCCAUAUUCAGCAGUGUAUGCGACAAGAAAGAUAAUUUUAUUCAAGAUGGUCAGCAUUCACCAACUGCAGCAUCUCAACAUCAGGAAGGAAAUGCAUGGGAUCCUGAAACUUCUGCAUUGGCGGCUCAGCGUCUAGUAGACUUAUUUGUCAGCUUCUUCAAUACAGUUUCGUCUCAACUAUCAAGUGUGGUAUCUGUAUUGACUGGAUUCAUUAGAAGUCCCA
rnacentral:misc_RNA from 1 species